AUUGCACGCUGGCGGCAGGCUUAACACAUGAAAGUCGAGCGAGCGGCGGACGGGUGAGUAAUGUCUGGGAAACUGACUGAUGGAGGGGGAUAACUACUGGAAACGGUAGCUAAUAACGCAUACCAUCGGAUGUGCCAAGAUGGGAUUAGCUAGGAGGUGGGGUAAAGGCGCAACUAGGCGACGAUCCCUAGCUGGUCUGAGAGGAUGACCAGCCACACUGGAACUGAGACACGUGCCAGACUCCUACGGGAGGCAGCAGUGGGGAAUAUUGCACAAUGGGCGCAAGCCUGAUGCAGCCAUGCCGCGUGUAUGAAGAAGGCCUUCGGGUUGUAAAGUACUUUCAGCGGGGAGGCGUUACCCGCAGAAGAAGCACCGGCUAACUCCGUGCCAGCAGCGGCGGUAAUAC
rnacentral:rRNA from 1 species